CUUGUCAUGUCUUAUGGUGAAUAUAUAUAUGGAUUUCUGGAGGGUAGAUACCAAGGGAUGGAAUUGAUAAGCUAUAGCAUGUAUGUGUGUUUAGCUUUUAAAGAAUUUUUGGUGUUCUCGUUGUUGCUGUUUUAUUGGUCUCUGCAGUCCUAAAUCUGGGGAUGAUUACAGAGGAGUUUCUGUAAAACAAUAAUCUUGUGACAUCAUUCCCUGGCCCAGAGAAAGUCUUGACCGCCCCCCGUGGGCAUGGAGGAAACUUCACAGGCGGGACCUGACGUAGUUUUUCUCCGUGUGGUGAGUCCGGAGUGGAAGGUCAGGAAGGAAUUCUUGAGACAUCUCCAGUGCAAAAAGUCUCUUCUGCAACAACUCCUGGCCUGACGUAGGAAAGACAUCGGAGUUUGGAGCCGACGGCCGAGAAAGAAUUCCUGAGAUGCCUUGGAUGCAAAGACGCGGUUUGCGGACAGGACUGGUGGGCAGAAAGAGCCGCACAGGCGUUUUAUGCAAACGUGAUUGAUUUUUCCGCUUCUUCACCGUCCAUUCAUCACUCAGGCCACUGAGCUGCUUCCACCUCGACCACUAAAAGGACUCACGCUGGGAACGCCUGGGCGGCUCAGUCAGUUCAUCGUCGUUGGCCUUCAACUCAGCUUGUGAUCCCGGGGUCCUGGGAUUGGGUCCCGCACUGGGCUCCCUGCUGAGCAGGGAGCCUGC